rnacentral:misc_RNA from 1 species
UAUGAAACUAUUAUUCUUACUAAUUGUGACCACAUUUGAGUUUGUUAGAUGGGUUGGCUCUGUGUUUUUUUUAUUGUUAUUUGUGUGUAUUUUUUUUCUGUUAGUUUUUGUUAUUUGAUCGUUUGUUUAUUUAAGUUUUUUUUUUUACUUGUUCACUGUCUUUUAAAUGAAAAGAGACAAUCUAAGUGUGGACAAGUACUGUAUAAAUCGCCACUUGUAGGUUAUUUUUUCCGCACUUCUGACAUUUUUGUCCCUAUCUUCAGCUUUUUUCCAUGUCAAUAAUGUCACUCCAGCGGCGAUGUUUUUUAACGUUGUUAAGUAUGUAAUAAAUCCAGAGGUGCUCAAAUAAAAGUGAACGAGAC